AUGGGGAGUGUGCACAAGGCCACCUUCGUUCUCCUCAUGUUCUGCUUGGCGGUGCUGGGGAGGGCAGAAUAUCUCAAGUACAAGGACCCGAAGCAGUCGAUUGGUGUUCGCAUCAAGGACCUGCUCGGCCGGAUGACUCUCGCGGAGAAGAUCGGCCAGAUGACUCAGAUCGAGAGGGAGAACGCCACGACGGGGGUGCUAUCCAAGUACUUCAUAGGCAGCGUGCUGAGUGGUGGAGGCAGCGUGCCUUCUUCCAAGGCAACCGUUGCGGCUUGGCAGUCGAUGGUGAACGAAAUGCAAAAGGACGCCAUGUCCACCCGCCUAGGUAUUCCGAUUAUCUACGGUAUUGACGCUGUGCAUGGUCACAAUAACGUCUACAAAGCCACCGUCUUCCCCCAUAACGUUGGCCUCGGAGCCACCAGGGACCCUGAGUUGGUGAAGAGGAUAGGAGAAGCAACUGCUCUUGAAGUUAGAGCCACCGGGAUCCCAUACGUCUUUGCUCCAUGUAUUGCGGUUUGUAGAGACCCAAGAUGGGGACGCUGCUAUGAAAGCUACAGUGAAGACCCAAAUGUUGUCCGUUCAAUGACCACAAUUAUCUCUGGCUUGCAAGGCGAUGAUCCGUCAGAUAUCAAAGGAAGACCAUAUGUUGGUGGAAGUAAGAAAGUUGCCGCAUGUGCAAAGCACUAUGUUGGUGAUGGUGGUACGUUUAUGGGGAUCAACGAGGGCAAUACAAUCAUCGACAACGAUGGCUUGAUGACUAUUCAUAUGCCUGCUUAUUAUAAUUCUAUCAUCAGAGGCGUCUCCACUAUUAUGGUCUCAUACAAUAGUUGGAAUGGAAAGAAAAUGCACGCCAACCAUCACCUAAUCACUGACUUCCUCAAGAACAAGCUCAAAUUUAGGGGUUUUGUGAUUUCAGACUGGGAAGGCAUUGAUCGGAUUACUACUCCCCAACACCUGAACUAUUCUUAUUCGAUUGAGGCCGGAGUAGGUGCAGGUAUUGACAUGAUCAUGGUUCCUUUUGCCUACACAGAAUUCAUCGAUGGACUGACAUCCCAAGUUAAGAACAACAUUAUCCCCAUGAGCAGAAUCGAUGAUGCUGUCUACAGGAUUCUUCGGGUUAAGUUCACCAUGGGUCUAUUUGAGAACCCUUAUGCCGAUCCAAGCCUCAUGGGCGAACUCGGAAAGCAAGAACACCGAGAAAUCGCCCGGGAAGCCGUCAGAAAAUCACUGGUGUUGCUGAAAAAUGGAAAAUCUGCCUACACUCCAUUGUUGCCCCUCCCCAAGAAGGCCGGUAAGAUCCUCGUUGCCGGAAGCCACGCCGACAACUUGGGCAACCAAUGUGGAGGAUGGACGAUCACAUGGCAAGGAUUGACCGGCAACGACAAUACUACUGGGACGACCAUCCUUUCGGCGAUCAAGUCCACCGUCGACCCCAGCACGCAGGUGGUCUUCUCGGAGAACCCGGACAGCACCGCCGUGGACAGCGGUAACUACGACUACGCGAUUGUGGUUAUCGGCGAGCCGCCCUAUGCCGAGACGUUCGGCGACAGCCUGAACCUGACGAUCCCUGCCCCCGGACCCUCGGUGAUCCAGACCGUCUGCAGGAGUGUCAAGUGCGUGGUUGUCCUCAUUUCCGGCAGGCCGCUAGUGGUGGAGCCAUACAUCGGCGCCAUGGACGCGUUCGUCGCCGCGUGGCUGCCCGGCACUGAGGGGCAGGGCGUGGCCGACGUUUUGUUCGGCGACUACGGGUUCUCCGGGAAGCUGGCGAGGACGUGGUUCAAGUCGGUGGACCAGCUGCCGAUGAACGUCGGCGACAAGCACUACGACCCGCUCUUCCCCUUCGGGUUUGGCCUCACCACGCAGGCCAACAAGUGA
rnacentral:rRNA from 1 species